CCCCUUUCAAGGUCGCACCUGGAGAGUUUCCAGUACCCUUCCAGUCUCGGCUAUGGGAGGGAGAGUCAAGCAGAGGCAUACCCAUUUCAUUCCUAGCUUGUCCAGUGGCUAGCAUUUGGAAGACAAUCUGCUACAAGU